ensembl:lncRNA
GAAAAACCCCAUAAUGCAAUUUAAAUUGCAAGAUCCUAAAAUAGUAACCAUGGUUGCUUCUCUUGCUUGUUAUUCCUCCCUUCCUCUCAACCAGUUAAUUAAUAUAUGUGUGUGUCGGGGGUGAAACUAAUAAUUUUAAUUUUCUUUUAGAGUGCUUUAAUCUAGCUAGGCUGGGAAAGCAAUGUUGCCCACUUUUUUUAUUUUUAAUUCUGCAUUUCCUAUCUCUUAAAUAAACUAAAUGAACUUUGAGAAUUGUUAACAUGCAGCAUUAAGAGUUAUGUGUGCUUGUUCUGCAUGGGUUUCCUUAAAAAAAGACCCAAUCUUUCUGCAUUAGUCUCAAUUAGUUGUCCUUGUAUUGAGCCUUCAUAUGUGAAUUUUACUUCCAAAGGACAAACUUCUUACUGAAGAUGUAAAUACUUAACCACUAAUAACACCAUUAAAGGACUUUGUAGAGCUGUGACCACACACACUUUCUUUCUGUAGUUAGGAUAAAAAAAACAACUGAAUAGGCAGAAAAUCACCUUCAAAUCUGAUAACAUUAUAAGUACUUCAUGUAUACUCAGGUUUUCUCUCCCUGCACAGUCAUUAUUGAUGAAGUAUCUAUGGGAUGCAGAACUCAAACUUGCUGUAUUCCUGCUCACCUUAUUUACUGUACAUGACUGACAGUAAUAUUAUUAUUUUUUUCUUUCUUUCUUUCAGGUCUUGACAAAAGACUUGGGAGGCAAUGCUAAGUGUUCAGAAUUCACUGAUGACUCUGGAAGGACACACCAUGGAGCCCAAUAUAUGUAACCUGAUAUCCACAUGCAUAGAGUUUGCUUAUCUCUUGAGAGCAAACUUUUUAGCUGAGGCCUCUCCAUUAAUAAAUCUAGUCCAAAUGGCUACAAAUGAUGCUUGUGCCUGCUUUCGGUGGACUUUUCCAAGUGCUUUGUCUUAUUUAUUCUUUUUUUUUUUUUUAUCUGGUGAACAUUUUUAUGUAAGUGAAUUCUUUUAUUGGCACUGUAACUGUCUAAUAUUUUCCAUUUCAAUUGGAGGGUUUUACUUUCCACAUAGAAAAAUUAUGCAAACAAACCAGUAACAGAAUUAGUGAAAUAUAAAAGCACCUUAAAUGUUUAAAACCUAUUUUAUUGAUCUUGUUGAAAUUAAAAAGAAUAGCACAAGAUAAUCUUCAUACACAGAAAUGGGUAUAAAAUAACUUAAAAUAGCAAUUUUAUAUUAGAAGCAAUGAGAAAACCACUUUAGAUACUCUGGUGAUACAUGAAAUACAGCCCUGCCCAUCAAAGGUAUGAAUUAAGAAAUAUAAAAUUCUAGAGAUUUAAUCUAUUUCUGUCUUUUAAAAACACCUACAACCAUUAUCAAGGGGUGAAAAUGAGUGCUUAAGCAAAGUUAUUUUUCAAAUCAAUAUACCAAAAUAAUUCUUACAAGUUUUCCUCUCUGAAACACACUUUACAAUUGAGUUCUAAUGAGGGCAAACUAUACAAAAUUACUUCUGCCAUAUAUAUUGUGAGGGGACAGUAUUAACUUUGCAAAUUUAAGUAUUUCAUUAAUUCAGCUAGAAUGCUUUUUGUGUUGUAGUUUCUGCACAGUCUGUUCAGUGUGUCUUCCUGUAUUAACUAGUAAUUUUAUUCUAGAAACUGAAUGUAAGAGACUAGUCCUAAAUGGAUUAAGACAGAUCAACAGUUUGACUCUGGUGCCUAUGUUCCAGAAAUACAUUUCAUCCCUAUUCAAGGGGAUCUGAAUCUAUUUUUUCCUUGCAUACUAAGCUUAAUGAGUGGAAAAGCAACUCACUGCCCUCCCCUCCCCAGCAGAUGCAGAUCGUCACUUGAGUCGUUCUGAUCUGUUGAUAUCAAGGAAUUGCUUCCAUUCCUGCACCUGACAAGAAAAUACCUAUUUUCAAACUUGUUGGUAUAGCACAGGAUUAUCCCUCCUGCCAGAAGCAGGCUCCUUACAGCUUCAUUCUAUUCAUAGAAAGUAACUAAGUGGAGUAAUACCUAUUAUGACUGUUUUGGGUUGGUUAUUUCAGAAGUAAAACAACUUUGGAGUAACAACUUCUCAUGUCACUCUCUAAAGUAAGCAUCCCAGCUUUUUUAUACAGUCUAAAACAUGCUGGAAGAGCUUUAUUCCUCCCACACUGCUUCUUGUGAAUAGGGCAACAUUUCUUUCUGUUUUACAAGCUGCUGCUUCCUUGUUUCCUUCAGAUUAAUGCUGUUAAAGAAAUUCUGAAUUACCAUUGCGCACAAAAUGGGGAAGAAUAAACUUUUCAAAGUCCUGUNCGAGGGCGAAGGG